GCCUACGGAAGGCAGCAGUGGGGAAUAUUGCACAAUGGGGGAAACCCUGAUGCAGCAACGCCGCGUGAGUGAAGAAGGUUUUCGGAUUGUAAAGCUCUGUUAGCAGGGAAGAGGAAGGACGGUACCUGCAGAGGAAGCCACGGCUAACUACGUGCCAGCAGCCGCGGUAAUACGUAGGUGGCAAGCGUUAUCCGGAUUUACUGGGUGUAAAGGGAGCGUAGACGGCAUAGCAAGUCUGAAGUGAAAGCCCGUGGCUCAACCGCGGAACUGCUUUGGAAACUGUUAAGCUGGAGUACUGGAGAGGG
rnacentral:rRNA from 1 species